CUGAGUGUACAGCCCAGGGCUUCUAUGGGAGAAGCAGAAAAUGCUUCCCUGCCUUCCCUGCCUUCCAGCAGCUGGCAGUCCAAGAAGAGUCCCAGAGAAAACAUCACAGACUCCUGUGCGCUGCUUUGAGGAAUGGUGAAGCACAUGCUUUUACCGGUUGGUGCAAAAGCGCCGUGUGCCAGCUAUUGUCCUCUGUGCCUUAGCUCUGACUUCUCAGCCUGUGACCUCCACCCUGUUUGCUAUUUUACCUCUCCGUAGCAUCCUUGCAUGGUCGCAAUGAGGAUCAAGUGAUGUACUUCACAUCCUAUCUAUGUCCAGCCUGGUGCCAGGCAUGUGGAAGGCUAUUCUCGAAAGAUGAGCAGGAGCCCAACAUGAGGCUUGAACUCACAACCUUCAGCUCAAGACUUGACCCUAAGACCUGAACUGAGAUCAAGAGCCACCUGCUUAACCGACUGAGCCACCCAGGCACCCCAGAAGCAGAGACUCCAUCCAUCCAUCCAUCCAUCCAUCCAUCCAUCCAUCCAUCCGCGCCUGCAUCCAUCGGGGACGUACGGCCGCAUCUGUCUUCCCAAGUGUCUGCAGUAACUUGCACCAUCACAGUUAGAGCAAGACGUGCCCCAGGUCUCCGGAAGAUCAUGCUUCCAAGUGAUUCCCUGGUGACUUGAGAGCUCCUCUGUGCUGUUGUUCCCUCUUGCUCAUCAUCCGGCACCCGCUCCAGUGGCCUCUCCCCAGGGAAUCUCCCUUCUGGCUGGAUUUGACACCUUCUUCACAUGCUUCCAGAACAGAGACUGAAGCCUGGGCAGCAGGAGCCCACAGGCUCACUCCAUUUGCUUAGCACCAUUUCAGAAACAUUUGAAUUAGUUACCAAUGUUUUAUUUAUUUAUUUAUUUAUGAUGGGGAUCCCUGGGUGGUGCAGCGGUUUGGCGCUUGCCUUUGGCCUAGGGCGCGAUCCUGGAGACCCGGGAUCGAGUCCCACAUCGGGCUCCCGGUGCAUGGAGCCUGCUUCUCCUUCUGCCUGUGUCCCUGCCUCUCUCUCUCUCUCUCU